AGUGAACGCUGGCGGCAGGCCUAACACAUGCAAGUCGAACGACAGCACAGUAAGAGCUUGCUCUUGCGGGUGGCGAGUGGCGGACGGGUGAGGGAUACAUCGGCAUCUACUUUUUCGUGGGGGAUAACGUAGGGAAACUUACGCUAAUACCGCAUACAACCUACGGGUGAAAGCAGGGGAUCUUCGGACCUUGCGCGACUGCAUGAGCCGAUGUCGGAUUAGCUAGUUGGCGGGGUAAAGGCCCACCAAGGCGACGAUCCGUAGCUGGUCUGAGAGGAUGAUCAGCCACACUGGAACUGAGACACGGUCCAGACUCCUACGGGGGGCAGCAGUGGGGAAUAUUGCGCAAUGGGCGAAAGCCUGAUCCAGCAAUACCGCGUGAGUGAAGAAGGCCUUCGGCUUGUAAAGCCCUGUUGUUGGGAAAGAAAAGAAGCAGGAUAAUCCCCGGAUGUUCUGACGGUACCUAAAGAAUAAGCCCCGGCUAACUUCGUG
rnacentral:rRNA from 1 species